UACGGGGGGGCAAGCGUUGUUCGGAAUUACUGGGCGUAAAGGGCGCGUAGGCGCCUGCUAAGUCGAACGUGAAUCCCCGGGCUCAACCCGGGAACUGCGUCCGAUACUGACAGGCUUGAAUCCGGGAGAGGUGAGUGGAAUUCCGAGUGUAGAGGUGAAAUUCGUAGAUAUUCGGAAAGAACACCAGUGGCGAAGGCGGCUCACUGGACCGGUAUUG
rnacentral:rRNA from 1 species